rnacentral:rRNA from 1 species
UACGUAGGGUGCGAGCGUUAAUCGGAAUUACUGGGCGUAAAGCGUGCGCAGGCGGUUUGUUAAGAUAGGCGUGAAAUCCCCGGGCUCAACCUGGGAACUGCGCUUAUGACUGGCAAGCUAGAGUACGGCAGAGGGGGGUGGAAUUCCACGUGUAGCAGUGAAAUGCGUAGAGAUGUGGAGGAACACCAAUGGCGAAGGCAGCCCCCUGGGUCGAUACUGACGCUCAUGCACGAAAGCGUGGGUAGCAAAC